AGACAGUCUCAGUUCAGAUUGUAGGCUGAAACUCGCCUAUAUGAAGUCGGAAUUGCUAGUAAUCGCAGAUCAGCAUGCUGCGGUGAAUACGUUCCCGGGCCUUGUACACACCGCCCGUCACACCAUGAGAGUCGAUAACACCCGAAGCCUGUAGUCUAACCAUAAGGAGGACGCAGUCGAAGGUGGGAUUGAUAAUUAGGGUGAAGUCGUAACAAGGUAAC
rnacentral:rRNA from 1 species